CAUGGGUUAGCCUACCCAAGCUCGCUUGAAUCCAGCCAGCAUGGAAUAUAGCCGUGAAGACAGUGCAGUAUAGUCUUCAGAGAAGGCUACAAAGCUGAAUAACUGCCCAGGGUCAGUGCCACACAUGUACUACCUGCAAAUACUUUUAAUUGUACAUCAGUACCAGUGCAGAGUUAUUGCAACUGCAACAAUCUCAUGACCCCAGCCUUACCAGAGUGUUAAUGUAGACUCAGAGGCAUAGGACAUGCAUCUAAUGUAUGUAAGACAGAAAAUAUAAGAAUGCCACUAUAUAAAUCUGUGGUGCACCACACCUUGAAUAUUGUGUCUGGUUCUGGUCAUCCCAUCUCAAGGAGGACAUAGUGGAACUGGAAACAGAUCCAAGAAGGGCAACAAAGGUGAUCAAGGGUAUCCAGCAACUUCUCUACCAGGAGAGGCUAAAAAGAUUAGGGCUGUUCAGCUUAGGAAAGAGACAAUUAAAGGGGGAUCUGAUAAAACCUAUACAAUCAAGAAUAGUGUGGGAAAAGUGAAUAGAGACAUUUUAUUUACCCUUUCCCACAAUACAAAAAUCAAGGGGUCACCAUAUGAAAUUAAUGAGCAGCAGGUUUAAUGCAAACUAGAGGAAAUACUUUUUCACACAACACACAAUCAACCUGUGGAACUCAUUGCCAGGGAAUAUUGUUAUGGCCAAAAGUAUAACUGGGUUCAAACAAGAACUAAAUAAGUUCAUUGGGAAUAGGUCCAUCAAUGGCUCUUAGCCAAGAUGGUCAAGGAUGGUCACCAUGCUUAGAGUGACCCAAAAGCUGGCAGUGGAAAACAAGGAUGGCUUUCUCCAAAAUUGGCUUGUUCUGUACACUUCCCCUGAAGCUCUGGCAGUGACAACUGUCAGAGACAGGAUGCUAUGCUAGAUGGACCAUUGGUCUGACUCAGUGUGGCAGUUUUUCUGUAGCACAAGUCCACAAAACACAUGUUGAACACAUUCCCACAUCAUCAGGACAUGCUCUGAUUUACACCUGAAGUGUACAUGCACAUCCUAAAAUUACUUGCUGUACGAUGAGGAUGAUAACUCAUGACAUGAGAAGGUUACUCACCUUGUGCAGAAACUGAGGUUCUUCGAGAUGUGUGUCCUUGUGGGUGCUCCAUUUCAGGUGUUUGUGUGCCCGAGAUCAUAAUCAGAUACUUUUGGUAGCAGUGCCUGGUUGAGUCGCACAUGCAUGGUCCCUGUCUUGCGCCACCUCAGGCGGCUAACUGGCGCUGUGCGACCAACCCCCUCCCCCGUUCCUUCUCUACUGCAGAGACUAAGGCAGAAACUCUCAAGUAGAGGGGAGGAGGGAGGGUAGUGGAGCACCCACAAGGGGACACAUCUCGAAGAAUCUCAGUUACUGCACAAGGUGAGUAACCUUCAAAUGCUGUCCCUGUGGCUGUUCCACUUUAGGUGACUUCAUAAAAGUGUCUCUGAUGGAAGGAGGGGGCGUCUGAGUUGAAGUAGUAAGAGAAGACAGUACAGUGAGCCCAAAGGAGGUUGGACGUUGCCUGUUGUUGUAACACGUAAUGCUGCAUAAAGGUAUGGAAUGAGGCCCAGGUAGCAUCAUUUUAUGAAAUCAGAGAUCCACUUGGAGAACCUCUGUUUGGAUAUGGCACUCCCUCUGAAGUGUUCAGUGAGGGAGAUGGAAUCUGGGUGAUUUACAAAAUGGUCUUGUUCUGUCUAUAUAAAAGGCCAAUGCCCUCUGCACAUUGAGAGUAUGAAGUCUUGUGUGCUUUCUAUCCCUAUCCUUUAGGGUAGAAAGUCAGUUGGUAAAUGGGUUGAUUAAAGUGGAAAGCUGAGAUGACUUUAGGUAAAAACUUGGAGUGCAGUCUCAGGGAUACUUUAUCUUUAAAAAAGACAGUGUAUGGGGGAGGGGGCUCUGCCAUGAGAGCACUAAGCUCUCCUACACGUCUGGACGAUGUAAUGGCCACUAGAAACACCACCUUCAUGGAAAGGUGUAGGAGUGAGCAUGUAGCCAUGGUUUCAAAUGGGGGACCAGUGAGGGCCCGAAGGACUAGGUUGAGGUCCCAUGGUGUAACAGGAGCAUGUAGCUCAGGGUAGACAUCGGUGAGGCCCUUGAGGAAACGUUUGGUGAGAGGUCGAGCAAAGACAGAGCUCUGAUCCACCUUGUGGUGAAAAGCUGUGAUAGCAAAGAGGUGAACUCGUAUUGAACUCAUGGAGAGGCCUGACCUUUUAAGCUCUAAAAGGUAUUCUAAUAUUGAGGGUAAGGAAGCUGAAACAGAUGCCACCUGUUUUUGCUGGCACAAAGCAUCAAAUCUCUGCCACUUGACUAUGUACGUGCAACAGGUAGUUAUUCUGUGACUAUUCAAUAAUAUGUUUUGUACAUCUUCUGAGCAGGUCAUCUCAGAACCUUGGCCGAGCCACGCUCUCAGAUGGAGUUAUUACAGAUCUGGUUGCAGGGUGCAACCUGAGUCCUGGGACAGCAGAUGAGGCAGAAGCGGGAGCGUGAUUGGUGACACACCACCAUCCUGAGAAGGUGUAUAGAUCCCCAGAGUUCACAGUGUCGCUUGUGAAUCUUUGAGCAUCUGAAGAGUGUCGUCGGUCUUUUUGGCGAAGACUUUGGGCCCUUCAAAUGGUCAUCUGUCUUUGUCUCACUACUGCUGCCUUUGCCAGAUUCAGUGGAGUGAUAAGUGAUGGGCAUCUUACCUCUGCAGUGGGGAGAUGCAGCCGCGGCCUCUGUUUCACCUCACAGAUGGCUUUCUCCAGACUGGCAAGGAUAUAUAUAGAGAAAAAAAUAAAUAUGAAAGAGAAGACCCAAGAAUUUGAGAGGAAUGGGGUAUAAAAAUAAAGCAAACUAAGAAAAACGAAGAACACCGAUAAGCUGGUACAUCGUUCACCUUUUGAAAAACUUUAUUCAAAAAGCUUGUUUGUGGGUUUGUUUGUUUUCCUUUUCCUCCCAGCAGAAACUUUAGCCGGAGCCAUGUGAAUUUCAAAUGAGAAUGCCCCAGCUAAGAGAAUGCAGUCAGCAGGAGUUCGCUCUCUUUAAAUUGUCUGCUGUAUUUAAAGAGAUGCAAUAUUUUAAUAAUUGCAUGAAGAAUAGUGUUUAUGUAAAACUGUUUCAUAUUUGUUACAGACUUAAAAUGCAAUUUCACUUCUACCUACUAUUUAACCUCGACAGGACCAUGACAAUUUUAAAACAAGCAAGAAACUACAAAGGUUUGAGUUGGAUCAAAGGUGGGAAAUUGCUUAUUUUUAAUCCUAUCCUGAUAUGCUGACUAUAUCACAGGUAGCCUAGAACAUUAAUAUUUAUCAUGUAUAAAGUAAUGCUAAUUUGGAGAUAGCUUUUAAGGUCUAAUCCUAAUUCUGAAAUAUAACAUCAGCAAGGGCCACCGCUGUCAUAGGAUGGGAAUUUCAAAAGCUCCUAAAUUAUAUAGGCACAUAAGGCCCAGAUCAGUGAAUUUAAUGGGAGUUAGGUGGCUAGAUAAUUUUGAGGAUCUGAGUCUUGAGUGCCUAAAUCACUUAGGUGUUGAACUUUCCCCCCCCCUCACCCCGCAUUAGAUCAGUACUGAAAGACCUUGUAUUAAAGUACUACAUAUGAAAAACCUUGCAGGUCAUCAGGCCUCCAAAUAUUUGCUUUAAUUUCUUUUAAAUCAGAACUGCCAUCCUGGAUCUGAUGAACUCUGACACCCUGUCCAGAGGAUUGUGGGAAAACAAUGCCAUUUCCAUUCAGAAUUCUGCAAACACUUAUGCACAUGCUUAAUUUUACUCAUGAAAACAGUCAGGAAUUGGACUGGGGAAGAUAUUUGGCAGAACAUUCUAUGGUGAAUCAAGAAGAAAUAAAGCAACUUUAGGGAUAAAACCAUUUAGCUAUUCUAAUAAUGUUCUUUGUUCAGUAUUACAUGCAAACAACUCAGUCUGUGCUUCUGUACCAUUGUCAUGUGAUAUUUUCCAAGGACUCUUUUGUUUGUUCGUUUGUUUUGUUUUUUAAAAUACCUGGUGCAAUCUGGUAUAUUUCAAAGACUUAAUUAAAUUAAAAUAAAA